UAAAACUAAAGAAACCCCUCUAAGUCCUGUGAUCAGUAACCAAAUGAACUAACCAAACCAACCCCUUUUCUCUCCCAAAAGAAAACCUAACGACACCAUCUAUCACCUUUUUCCCUACGUUUGAGAGUCGUCACAGCUCUGAUGAUGACUGCGAAAGGGAAAACUCGAAGAUCUUUCGGGUUGAAGAUUACUUUGUCUUCAAUCCGAUGGAUACGAGCUAGAAUCAACAAUAUCGCUGCCCCAAACGACUCUUUCUCCUUCAAAUUACCUUUAAAAAGUUCUCGGCUCAACAACGAGCUUUUCAAGCGGAUUCGGAGACUCGACAACGACAAGACUCAGUUCGCUGUCCCGAAAAAAGUAACCCCUCUCGUCUUGAUCUAAUUUUCAAUUUUGGUAGUCACUUGAAUGUGAUCGACUGUCGUUUAAGUUUCUGUUAAGCUUAUGUUAGAAUUGGUUGUUCUUUUGACCGAGAUGUAAGAAAACCAAUGUGUCAGAAAAGCUAACGUGACUCAUGGAAAAACUACUAAUUUGCUGAAAACAAAAUAUGGGAUAUGUGACUUGAUCCGGUGGUUGUUUCAUUCACAGCCACAGCAUGUUUAUUAUCAUAACUAAUGUGUUAAGAUGCAUUAUAAUUUUAAAUAAAAGUAUGAACCUGCCUAGAGUAAAACUACAUGCUUAUAUGGUAUUCUUAUAAAAGGGACUGCUUCAUGUUGGUAUGGACUUGGUCUAGUAUUUUUUUUUUUUUUUUUGAGAUUUACAUUAGGUUGGGCUGCUAUAAUUUCAUGACCACUAAGUGUAUGUUUAGCCUAAUGGUUGCCCUGUUUACUUGAAUGUUAUCAUCUUUCGUCUUGAUUUGCUAUUUCAAAAUACGUGUUUGGAGUCUGCAAGUCUUUUUUUCAUUUAGUUUUCUUUGCAAUGUGCGUUUUAAUCCGCGUCCUUGUUCUUGCUGGAUAUAAAGCGAAGAUUAAAAAUAAAUGAGGAACAUUUAGGGAAUCUAUUGAAUAUGUGUUUAAUUUUGUCACCCAUUCAGGGAUAUCCUCAAAUGACUAUUUUUUUUUUCCUAAAAAUCUUCUCUGCUAAAUUAUCAUUUUUAUGGAAACAUAGCAUCUUGAUCUUAGUUUACUAACAAUAUAAGACUAGAAUAUUUGUUUCCGUCUGUAAAAUCUUCAUCUAACAGUUAAGGAGUCUCAGUUUGUGAUUAUUGAAAGAUCUGUCUAAAAAUUGGUGUUAGGGGAAUCCAGUCAACUUAUCUUUAUUAUAUAUAUACAGGUCCUGGAUCUAAAGUUCUUUUAAGUCUCAGGAGUUAAGCUUUUGUUUAAAUUUUAAAUUCCUCCGAAGUCCUAGAUUCUGGCUUUGUAUAUAUAUUGGUUUUAAACUCUCAGAAGUUAAGCUUUUGUCAAUCUCUCUAGUACUUUUAAGUCUUAAAAGAGUUAUGGAGCCUGUUAAAACCAAGACAAUGUGCUGCUACAUUGGCGAUAACUCAAAGCCUGAAUCUUCUUUUGUGAUAAGUAUUGUUGUGUUUCUUUUGUCGUUCGGUUCCUGUGGAUCAAUUAUCUUAUUUGCCACUAUGUAUGCUCCUUUUAAAGUAAAUAGAAAUCUGUUUGGAUAGUUUAGAUGCCAUGCGCAAAGUUUCCCUGGAAAUAUAUUGAAGUAGUUUCUUAUCAAGAUUGUAUGUGUUAACUUAAUAAUUUGAGGAAUAUGUGCUCGGAUCCAGUGUCCUAAAAAAUAUGAUUUUAUCAAGGAAACUUACCUUUUUAAGUGCUUUUUUGUUUAAAACAAGUGGAAGUCUGAAGUGCGUGUGUUUAUGGGAUUUUAAUCGUUAAAAGAUCGUUGUGUUUAUUUUUUUUUAAAGCUCGAAUGCAUGCUUGAUGAUAAGUGAUUAUGCCUGUCUUAUGUGUUUAAAUACUUGCUUAAAUAAAAGAAAACCACACUUUAUUUCCAGAGCAAUGUGUCCUUUACUAGAAUAUGUAGUUGUGGUUCAGUUGUUCUAAGAUGUUGAGUCGGGUUAAGCUGAAAUGUUUUGCUGAAAAUCCUAAGGAUGGUUGAGUUUGAAUAACUACUAUAUUCAUAAUUUAUAGAUGUUGAGGAUCUAGUAGCCAUGACUGUCACACCUGUUUCCCGGAGUAUGAUAUAUAAUUUUCAACAAUAAGCUGCCAAGAUUUCUCUGUCUGAAGUGUUGUGAACUUUGAGUUAUUUCCACUAUUCCUAAAUAUCCUAAGUUGUUGAUGGUAUAAACUCAUAAAGCAUGCUAAAAACUGUUGAUAUUUGGGAAAAUUCUUGGGCUGUUUAAAUAUAGUACAUUGUUACCUUGAGAUUUUCUCUAUGAUGUUUUGUUGAGUUCAUUUUAAUAGAAAAUUGAAGGGUAUGCAAUUGCAUGUUUUAGCUGGUGGUCUUGUUCUUAUAGACUUCGGUAGGUUAUUAUUAAGUAUAAAGGUUCCUGUCUUAUAUAGUCUUUGGCUGUAACUAUCCAAAAGAGAGGGUUGUUGGUUUGUUUGUUUAUUUGAAGAACUAAGAGAUGGGUUGUUAAGUCACAUAAAUGAAUGAAAGUUUUUUUUAGAUUUCAGUACCUUACCUGUCGGAUUUAAGUGUCGUUUAAUACUGGAUUAUGUAUGAUAUGAAUACACUUUCUUGUGGCUCAUCAGCCUAUAAAGUGUUUUGUGUUCAUUUGUAUUGUUGUUCGAAUCAAGAUUACUUCUUUUUCCUUUAGAAUUGAUUGAAAUGCCUUGGUUGUAAAUUCUGGGGAUUACUUCAGUUAGUUAUACUCUAGUUGUGUUGCUAUUAGUAAGAUCCAUCGAGAUGCAAAUACUAAUUCCUUUUCUCUAUUUUUUUUCUUUUCAUGUGCAAUCUUGGGAGUGCAUUGGAGUUGUGAUAUAACUCCAAUUUCAACCCAGUACUUGAAGCAACCAGUGCAGCUUUAUUGCUCGUGUUUAGUAGCCCAGUUCAUUAAUGUCAAGAGUCUCCGUCCUUCUUCCUCUCUUCAAAUUUUUACACCUUUGUAUUGGCUUAUAUACAUGUUUAUAUUCUUGAGUAAACAUUCUUUGGUAUGUUUGUAGUGUAUUUGUUUUCUGUAAAAUGAGCAAGUAUAAUAGUGAGUUUAAACGUUAGCUCCCUUUCCCCUUUUCGGGUAUUAAUCUUGACUUAGCUAGUACUUAGAAUAGUGAUCGUCAA